AGUAUUUCAGAAGAUUUCUGUUGCGUGUCGUCCCUGCACAGAGAGCCAUGCUAGUCUUCUCUGCAUUGUUCCAAUUUAAAUAUAUGUUCAGGAAUGAAC
rnacentral:snRNA from 1 species